GACAGAGGGUGCAAACGUUGUUCGGAAUUACUGGGCGUAAAGCGCGUGUAGGCUGCUCAGAAAGUCGGAUGUGAAAGCCCUGGGCUCAACCUAGGAAGUGCAUUCGAAACUUCUGAGCUGGAGUGCUGGAGAGGAAGGCGGAAUUCUCGGUGUAGAGGUGAAAUUCGUAGAUAUCGGGAGGAACACCAGUGGCGAAGGCGACUACCUGGCCUGUUCUUGACGCUGAGGCGCGAAAGCUAGGGUAGCAAACGGG
rnacentral:rRNA from 1 species